rnacentral:ncRNA from 1 species
GCGGCCGAUGGGAAUGGGGCUUCCCGAUAACCGCCAGUUGGCUGAUAGCUCCUGCCGUAGU